rnacentral:lncRNA from 1 species
AUGAAAAGCCAGUAGAUCCUUCUUCCCAUCCCUAUUCAUCAUCACAACGUCGUUGGUCCCAAAGUUUCGAUUUAAUAACCAACUCCUUCGUGUUAGCUAAAACUGAUGGUUUGUUCUGUCCAUUGAAAAUUGAAAAAACUUCGUGAUCCUUUUGCUCUAUAUAAGUAUAAGGAAUGAUAGGGUAACUUUUCACAGUCUGUAUCUUCCCUCCAGCAACCAUUGCCGAUGACUUAGAGCUUAGAAUUAAGGAAUGAUAGGGUAACUUUUGACAGUCUGUAUCUUCCCUCCAUCAACC